AUGCCCAAGCGCACCAGGGGAGGGAGGGCCGACGCCAUGGCGCACGAAGCAUCCAAGCGCCGGGCGAAGCUGCACAUGGAGAAACCCCUCCCCGCCGGUGAGGGUUCCAGCCGGCAGCAGGGCGGCCUUGACGUCGUCGACCACGUCCAGGCUCCGGUGCAGGUGUCACCUAUGCCGGAGCAGGUGGCUCCUCCGCCGGAGCAGGUGACUCCUCUGCCAUGCCAUCUGCUUCCUCUGCCACGCCAUCUGCCUCCUCUGCAGCAGCCCGUGGUCAACGUCGACGGCGACGAGACGAAGAAGAGGUAG
rnacentral:rRNA from 1 species